AGAAAAGCUAAAUUAAAGCUAUCUCAUUCUAUAUUCACUCUGUGUACUUUUAUGCAGAAUUAAGCUAAAUAAGAGAAAUGCGGCAAACUGGAAAAUUCAGGAUGAAAAAGAAAAAGGAUCUCUCACAUGGAUGAAGUGAGUUAUUUUAUUAUUUUGUGUUAAAAAGAUAAAUAGAAAUCCUAACAGUUGAAAAUAUUUUCUUAGGGAGUAAAAUAUACAGCGAUAAAUACAAAAUACAAAAAAUGCGAGACUAUUGCAGCGUUACAUUUUAGUGGUGUAUCUGUAAGAUCUGCAAGGGGCUCUCCAUAGUAGCAGAUAUUUCUCCAUGAAGCUGCUAGAAGAGGGGACUAUACCAUUUAGCACUGCUAUUGCACUGGUAAAUUAAAAUGUUAUUAUCGAGUGAUGAAUAAUUAAUUAAACAGGGCAGAAAUAGCUAUUACCCUAUACCUAAAAGCUGAUUUUUUUACAGGCAAAACAUCUGAUUUGAACAC